GACGAACGCUGGCGGCGUGCUUAACACAUGCAAGUCGAACGGAAAGGCCCUGCUUUUGUGGGGUGCUCGAGUGGCGAACGGGUGAGUAACACGUGAGUAACCUGCCCUUGACUUUGGGAUAACUUCAGGAAACUGGGGCUAAUACCGGAUAGGAGCUCCUGCUGCAUGGUGGGGGUUGGAAAGUUUCGGCGGUUGGGGAUGGACUCGCGGCUUAUCAGCUUGUUGGUGGGGUAGUGGCUUACCAAGGCUUUGACGGGUAGCCGGCCUGAGAGGGUGACCGGCAACAUUGGGACUGAGAUACGGCCCAGACUCCUACGGGAGGCAGCAGGGGGGAAUAUUGAAAAAUGGGCGGAAGCCUGAUGCAGCAACGCCGCGUGCGGGAUGACGGCCUUCGGGUUGUAAACCGCUUUCGCCUGUGACGAAGCGUGAGUGACGGUAAUGGGUAAAGAAGCACCGGCUAACUACGUG
rnacentral:rRNA from 1 species